UACGUAGGUGGCAAGCGUUGUCCGGAUUUACUGGGCGUAAAGAGCGCGCAGGCGGUCGUUCAAGUCGCGUGUGAAAGCCCCCGGCUCAACUGGGGAGGGUCACGCGAUACUGAUCGACUCGAAGGCAGGAGAGGGUAGUGGAAUUCCCGGUGUAGUGGUGAAAUGCGUAGAUAUCGGGAGGAACACCGGUGGCGAAGGCGACUACCUGGCCUGUUUCUUGACGCUGAGGCGCGAAAGCUAGGGGAGCAAACGGG
rnacentral:rRNA from 1 species